rnacentral:rRNA from 1 species
UACAGAGGGUGCAAGCGUUAUUCGGAAUUACUGGGCGUAAAGGGCGCGUAGGCGGCUUUUUAAGUCGGAUGUGCAAUCCCCAGGCUCAACCUGGGAACUGCAUUCGAGACUGGAAGGCUAGAGUACUGGAGAGGGUGGUGGAAUUCCUCGUGUAGCGGUGAAAUGCGUAGAGAUGAGGAGGAACACCAGUGGCGAAGGAGGCCACCUGGACAGUAACUGACGCUGAGGCGCGAAAGCGUGGGUAGCAAACAGG